rnacentral:rRNA from 1 species
UACGUAGGGUGCGAGCGUUAAUCGAAUUACUGGGCGUAAAGCGUGCGCAGGCGGUUUUGUAAGCCAGGUGUGAAAUCCCCGGGCUCAACCUGGGAAUGGCAUUUGGGACUGGCAAGGCUGGAGUGCGGCAGAGGAGACUGGAAUUCCUGGUGUAGCAGUGAAAUGCGUAGAUAUCAGGAGGAACACCGAUGGCGAAAGGCAGGUCUCUGGGCUGACACUGACGCU